rnacentral:rRNA from 1 species
AACGCUAGCUACAGGCUUAACACAUGCAAGUCGCGGGGCAGCAUGAAUUUAGCUUGCUAAAUUUGAUGGCGACCGGCGCACGGGUGAGUAACGCGUAUCCAACCUUCCCUUAUCCACGGGAUAGCCCGUCGAAAGGCGGAUUAAUACCGUAUGAGGUCAUUUGAUGGCAUCUGAUUAUGACGAAAGGUUUGGCGGAUAAGGAUGGGGAUGCGUCCGAUUAGCUUGUUGGCGGGGUAACGGCCCACCAAGGCGACGAUCGGUAGGGGUUCUGAGAGGAAGGUCCCCCACAUUGGAACUGAGACACGGUCCAAACUCCUACGGGAGGCAGCAGUGAGGAAUAUUGGUCAAUGGGCGAGAGCCUGAACCAGCCAAGUAGCGUGCAGGACGACGGCCCUAUGGGUUGUAAACUGCUUUUAUGCGGGGAUAAAGUGGGGGAUGCAUCCCUUUUUGCAGGUACCGCAUGAAUAAGGACCGGCUAAUUCCGUGCCAGCAGCCGCGGUAAUACGGAAGGUCCGGGCGUUAUCCGGAUUUAUUGGGUUUAAAGGGAGCGUAGGCUGGAGAUUAAGCGUGUUGUGAAAUGCCGCGGCUCAACCGUGGCACUGCAGCGCGAACUGGUUUCCUUGAGUGCGCUGAAAGUGGGCGGAAUUUGUGGUGUAGCGGUGAAAUGCUUAGAUAUCACGAAGAACUCCGAUUG